rnacentral:rRNA from 1 species
UACGGAGGGCGCGAGCGUUACCCGGAUUUACUGGGCGUAAAGGGCGCGUAGGCGGCUUGGGGUGUCCCAUGUGAAAGGCCACGGCUCAACCGUGGAGGAGCGUGGGAUACGCUCAGGCUAGACGGUGGGAGAGGGUGGUGGAAUUCCCGGAGUAGCGGUGAAAUGCGCAGAUACCGGGAGGAACGCCGAUGGCGAAGGCAGCCACCUGGCUCACUUGUGACGCUGAGGCGCGAAAGCGUGGGGAGCAAACCGG